AGCCCGGUGGUGUAGCGGCCAAGCAUACGGGGCUCUGGACCCCGUGAUCCCGGGUUCGAAUCCCGGCCGGGCUA
rnacentral:tRNA from 1 species